UACGAAGGGAGCUAGCGUUGUUCGGAAUUACUGGGCGUAAAGGGCGCGUAGGCGGUUUUGUAAGUCAGAUGUGAAAGCCCCGGGCUUAACCUGGGAACUGCAUUUGAGACUGCAAGACUAGAGAUCAAGAGAGGAAAGUGGAAUUACGAGUGUAGAAGUGAAAUUCGUAGAUAUUCGUAGGAACACCGGUGGCGAAGGCGACUUUCUGGCUCGAACCUGACGCUAAAGCGCGAAAGCGUGGGGAGCAAACAGG
rnacentral:rRNA from 1 species